GAUUGCACAUGGGUUUAUUUUCCUCUCCAGGUGGAGCGGGAGAAGCGGGGCCGGGGUAGCUGCCGGGGCCGCCUCUCGCCCUCUCCCCGCCUGCCCCACGGCUUGGCUGCUGCGGGGUGGCUGGGCCGGGAGAGGGGGGGACCCCGGAGCUGUCGGAGCUGUCGAGGCCCGCGGGGGUGCGGCACCCGUCGGGCUCCUCCUGAGGUGCGAAGGGCUCCUGCCGCGCCGGGCCUGAGGCAGACGGAGCUCCUGAACCCGCAGCUGCGGGUUCGCUUAGGACAGCUCGGCCGGAGGUCUCCGACGUCCCCAGGUCUGGCUGUCCAGCUGUUGCCGCGGCAGCAGCGCGGAGCCCAGCCCGGCGGCACCAGCCCCCUCCCUUCACGGUACGGCUCUUUCCCAUCCCAGCUUGGGUUCCCCCAGCUCGGAAAGGUGCGAGUGGCCGGGUCGCCCUCCACGAGCUCCCCGGGGAGUCCCUUUGCCGUGGCAUCAGGGCCGCGAAAGAGGGGCCCGACGGCUCGCCCUCGGCACAGGAAAACCCCUUUCGGCUGCAGCCGGAGCGCCCGCAGCCGGUGCGCCCCGCGCAUCCCCGUCGGGGGGGAGCGCUCCCCGGGAUGCGGGGCCGCCGCAGCUCCGUGGAGCCGGGAGGAGGGGAAGGCGGAGGCCCGGCGGCUUGUGAGAAUUGUUAUUUUUCAUCAAUCACCCGCAAUUUGUGUAAGUGCCCCGGACAGGACACCAGCCGUCCUGCUGGCUGGGGUCACGGAGACAACACAGCAAUGGAGAAGAGCAAAUUGCAUUUGCUCACCAGCUCACAGAUCCAAAUUACGACCCUCGCAUGGCGCGGGGAAGGGAGCGAAAGGUCCAUGUGACAUGAGGGAAAUAUGAAGGACUUUGACAGGUCUUAAACGGCCUGGCGCCAAGGCCUAAGUCUACCGGCUAAAAAUAGAAAAGGGAUGAUGAGUGGAGAUGGGCAGAGAUGAAAGGGGAAGAGCGAGCGGGGCCGUGCUGCAGCGCAGGGGCAGCGGGGACCGGACGGUUCCCCCCAGCCCGGCCCGGACAGAUCCUCCGGGCCGCCCGUUUGCCAUCGUCCCAGCCUGGGGACGCACCAGCUCAGCGCCGGCCCGCGGGAGGCCGGGGCAGCUCCCGGGAGCCAGGCGCGGUAUCCCCGAGUCACGGAUGGGGUCAUGCCGGGUUUCGCCCGGCCGUGGGCACGAGCGGUCCGCCCCGUCCAUGGGCGCAGGAUGUUGGGUCGGGAUCGAGCCCUCGGCCCGGGGGCCGCGGCUAGAGCUGCCGGGGCAGUGGGUUCUCGGUCCCCGUUAGCCCUCCACCCCUGGCAGUCCCAUCAGCAGGCAUGCUAUAGAGGGUCGGGGAGACGAGGCUGCCUCUGGAUCGGGUUUAUUCUGCAGGCGAGGGCGUCUGCGACGGUACAGUGGUGCGGGGGAUCCCGGUCCCGGCCCGGGAGAGAGGACCCCUUUCCUCCCGGGUCCCGUCUCCCGGUCCCGGCCCGGGAGAGAGGACCCCUUUCCUCCCGGGUCCCGGCGGCCUCCAGGCCCGACGCGCAGGGCCCCGCGUCUCCCGGCGGAGCAGCGGACCAGGUGUCCGCGGAGGAGCCGUCCCCGUCGUGGGGC
rnacentral:lncRNA from 1 species